UUCCGGUUGAUCCUGCCGGAGGUCAUUGCUAUUGGAGUCCGAUUUAGCCAUGCUAGUCGUACGAAUUUAGAUUCGUGGCGAAUAGCUCAGUAACACGUGGCCAAACUACCCUAUCGAGCGCGAUACCCUCGGGAAACUGAGGCUAAUAGCGCAUACGACUCGAUGCCUGGAACUGGCUCGAGUCCGAAACGCUCCGGCGCGAUAGGAUGUGGCUGCGGCCGAUUAGGUAGACGGUGGGGUAACGGCCCACCGUGCCGAUAAUCGGUACGGGUCAUGAGAGUGAGAGCCCGGAGACGGAAUCUGAGACAAGAUUCCGGGCCCUACGGGGCGCAGCAGGCGCGAAACCUUUACACUGCACGACAGUGCGAUAAGGGGACUCCAAGUGCGAGGGCAUAUCGUCCUCGCUUUUUCCUACCGUUAGGUGGUAGGCGAAUA
rnacentral:rRNA from 1 species